UACGUAGGGUGCAGGCGUUAAUCGGAAUUACUGGGCGUAAAGCGCGCGUAGGCGGCUGCUUAAGUCGGAUGUGAAAUCCCCGGGCUUAACCUGGGAACUGCAUUCGAUACUGAGCAGCUAGAGUAUGAGAGAGGGAGGUAGAAUUCCACGUGUAGCGGUGAAAUGCGUAGAUAUGUGGAGGAAUACCGGUGGCGAAGGCGGCCUCCUGGCUUAAUACUGACGCUGAGGUGCGAAAGCGUGGGGAGCAAACAGG
rnacentral:rRNA from 1 species